rnacentral:rRNA from 1 species
CGUAGACGGCACGGCAAGCCAGAUGUGAAAGCCCGGGGCUCAACCCCGGGACUGCAUUUGGAACUGCUGAGCUAGAGUGUCGGAGAGGCAAGUGGAAUUCCUAGUGUAGCGGUGAAAUGCGUAGAUAUUAGGAGGAACACCAUGGCGAAGGCGGCUUGCUGGACGAUGACUGACGUUGAGGCUGAAAGCUGGGGAGCAAACA